GUACGGGAGGCAGCAGUAGGGAAUUUUCGGCAAUGGGCGAAAGCCUGACCGAGCAACGCCGCGUGAGGGAUGAAGGUCUUCGGAUCGUAAACCUUUGUCUUCAGGGACGAUAAUGACGGUACCUGAGGAGGAAGCCACGGCUAACUACGUGCCAGCAGCCGCGGUAAUACGUAGGUGGCAAGCGUUGUCCGGAAUUACUGGGCGUAAAGGGCGUGUAGGCGGCUUUUUAAGUCAGACGUGAAAUCCCUGGGCUUAACCCAGGAACUGCGUUUGAAACUGGAUGGCUUGAGGACCGGAGAGGGCAGUGGAAUUCCCAGUGUAGCGGUGAAAUGCGUAGAUAUUGGGAGGAACACCAGUGGCGAAGGCGACUGCCUGGACGGCACCUGACGCUGAGGCGCGAAAGCUAGGGGAGCAAACGGGAUUAGAUACCCCGGUAGUCCG
rnacentral:rRNA from 1 species